rnacentral:rRNA from 1 species
CAGCCGCCACGGGAAUACGGAGGGUGCAAGCGUUAAUCGGAAUUACUGGGCGUAAAGCGCACGCAGGCGGUCUGUCAAGUCAGAUGUGAAAUCCCCGGGCUUAACCUGGGAACUGCAUCUGAAACUGGCAGGCUAGAGUCUUGUAGAGGGGGGUAGAAUUCCAGGUGUAGCGGUGAAAUGCGUAGAGAUCGGGAGGAACAUCAGUGGCGAAGGCGGCCAUCUGGGACAACACUGACGCUGAGGCACGAAAGCGUGGGGAGCAAACAGGAUUAGAUACCCGCGUAGUCCCUGUCUCUUAUAA